GACGAACGCUGGCGGCGUGCUUAACACAUGCAAGUCGAACGGAAAGGCCCUGCUUUUGUGGGGUGCUCGAGUGGCGAACGGGUGAGUAACACGUGAGUAACCUGCCCUUGACUUUGGGAUAACUUCAGGAAACUGGGGCUAAUACCGGAUAGGAGCUCCUGCUGCAUGGUGGGGGUUGGAAAGUUUCGGCGGUUGGGGAUGGACUCGCGGCUUAUCAGCUUGUUGGUGGGGUAGUGGCUUACCAUGGCUUUGACGGGUAGCCGGCCUGAGAGGGUGACCGGCCACAUUGGAACUGAGAUACGGCCCAGAUUCCUACGGGAGGCAGCAGUGGGGAAUAUUACACAAUGGGCGGAAGCCUGAUGCAGCAACGCCGCGUGCGGGAUGACGGCCUUCGGGUUGUAAACCGCUUUCGCCUGUGACGAAGCGUGAGUGACGGUAAUGGGUAAAGAAGCACCGGCUAACUACGUG
rnacentral:rRNA from 1 species